CCCCGCCCACUCCCGGGCCGCGUUCGGUCUCCCUGGUAACGCCCGGAGCCGAGGACAACAGUGCAGAGAGAGGCAGAGGCCGGGACCAACGCUGGGCUGCCAGAAUGGCUUACAGUCAAGCUGAAUGUGUUAUAAAGAAUAUUAUUCGAGAAAUAGGACAAGAAUGUGCACACUAUGGAGAAACUGUUUCUGAAACUCUUGUGGCUUUUAUGGUGAAAGCUGUUGUUUUGGAUCCAAGCAAUGGCUUCAACAUGGAUCGAAACCUCACAAGAUCUGAUGUUCAGAAACUUGUUAAGAUAUGUGUUGAUAGACUACUGGACCAAAAACAUCCAUCCCUGGACACAGUUAAGAUGCAAGUUUACUUUGAUAUGAAUUACACAAACCGAGAGGAAUUUCUUGAUGAACAUCAUCGAGUCCUAGAAUCCAGAUUAAGCAUUGUUAGCAGAGAAAUCACUGAUAACAGGGCCCGCACUCGAGAAGAAUUAGAGAGCCUGUACCGGAAGAUUGUCAGCUACAUAUUACUACGUUCUGGUCUUGGAUCUCCUACUGACAUCAAAGUUGUCAGAGAGGCAACAGCUGCUCUACAGAGUGUUUUUCCUCAAUCUGAACUUGGUACUUUUCUAUCCCUUUCCAAGAAGGACAAAGAGCGCCAACUGAAAGAACUCACCAUGAUUGUCACUGGAAUUCGGCUAUUCAACAAAGACUGUGGAAAGGGAGGAGAAGGCAUUGAUAAUUUGCCAGCUAUUCUGAAUGAAGCUAUUCCAGCCACCACCCAACAUAUUGAUUCACAACUGCAGACUUCCCAAGAACAGGCGUACCGGUACACAGCGAUUCUGGAGAAAGCAACAGAAAACCCACUCAGAAUGAAAGAUCUUGAGCCCUUAAUGAUAAAAGAAGCCUUGUUUAAUCUGAGACAAUAUGAGGUUUUCCUUAAUAUAAUUUUGUCUGAUAUAAUUACUUGUGCACAAGAAGUUGAAAUGAUGAUAAAGCAAUUAGCAGCACAAAUGGAACAAUUAAAAAUGACUGUACAAGCAAAGACUGCUGUACCGACGUCACAAGUCUAUCCUAUAUUUAUUGCACUUUCUGGCUUGUGGACCAGCUUUCAAGAUGAAACUGUAUUACUUAGUGUUCUGAGUAAUUUAAUCACUCACCUUGGACCAUUCCUAGGAGCUCAUGAAGACCUUUAUAAUGCUCAACUGAUUCAAGACCUCCUUGAAGAAGUGGAAGUAAAAACGGAUGUAUUUCGGAUAAAAGAAAGCAUGGGAACCAGAGUAAAUGUAAAUGAUUUCAAGAAAGUAGAUUGGCUUUUCCCAGAAACUACAGCAAAUUUUGACAAAUUGCCAAUUCAAUACCGGGGAUUUUGUGGUUACACAUUUGCUGUAACAGAUGGACUGCUUCUUCCAGGAAAUCCAAUGAUUGGAAUUUUGAAAUAUAAAGACCGAUAUUACACUUUCAAUUCCAAAGAAGCUGCAUAUGCUUUUGCAGAAAAUCCAAAUAAAUACAUUGAGAUGAUUGGAGAAAAAGCAAAAAAGAGAGCAGAACUAAUUCAGCUAUUGGAACUUCAUCAGCAAUUUGAAACUGUGAUUCCAUAUUCUCAAGUCAAAGUGAUCGACAAACAUAUAAAACCAAUAACAAGAUGUGAAAGUAGCACACAGACAGAUGUACACAUAAUGCAGCCAACAAUUGAAAAAGGUUAUGAAUGGAACGAAUGGGAGCUGAGAAGAAAAGCUAUAAAACUGGCUAAUUUGCGUCAGAAACUCACCCACUCAGUACAAACCAACCUUAGUCACAUGAGAAGAGAAAAUUCAACACAAGUAUACCCAUUAAAGUCAAAUGGCACACAGACCAAGAGAGAAGAUGGUACCAGAGUACCCAGGCCCCAGAUUUAUAUAGCUGGUCUCCGAGGCAGUAAUACAGCAUCACUCCACACAGUCAAAGUAAACUUAACAAGAGCUGUUGAUGAAACCUAAUUUGAGAAUACAUUUUAAAACUCAUUAUCAUACAGUGAUUUAUAGUAAAUAUUUAAAGUCUGUUGCACAUAUAUAAAGAGGUUGGGGCAAAUGAGCUAGAGAGAAGUGAGAAGGUUACCAAAGUGAUCUUCCAUGUCAUGAAAGAGACUGACCCAAGGAUUCUGACAAUACCGAUGGCAUAGAAUUAGAGGCAAAAGAAUACUGAACUUAAUUUAAGGACCUCUGAUUUCACGGGUGUGGAUCCUCCCUUCAGCAACAAAAAUGGAAAACCCUUAAGGUUUUUAAGAAUUAAUUUGACUCUAAACAUUCAUUCCCCCAUGACCAAACUAAUGAUGAAUCCGAAUUUAGUCUCCCUCUCUCCUUCCUAGAUGUUUCUAUGUUAUACCUAGGUGGGGGUAAAUAAGCCAGAGAAGAGUGAGAAGGUUCCCAACUGACUCGAUAUUAUGAGAGCUCCUCUGAACUACGGAUUCCAACAAUUCCACCUGUCAGUUUGCACAGCCUUCGAAAAACCACUGAAACAGCAUUUCUUUAAGUGCCUACUAUGUGCAAGGUGGUAAUCGCCGGAGAUGCCUAAGAGCCAUACUGGCUCGGGGGCUUAAGCUCCAAGUUUUAUCUCCAUGCUAUAAUAGGCAAUUUCGAUGGUUAAUUCGGUCGGCAAAAACAACUGGAAGAGAUUAGUGAACUAUAAUUUACAGCCUAAUCGAACGAAGCGUCUGCAGUUCACUUUUUAAGUAACAAAUUCAGAGUUUAUACAACAACAGCUUCUACUCCGAAUAGAUAAGACACCAGCUGAUCUUCGGCAGCGGAGACCACCAAUUUCCGGAAAGAUAACUUCUGUAUAGUAGACACUUUAUAGGCACUUGUUAAAUGAAUGAAUGAGUUAGCAUCAAACUGGUAGUUGAAGCUGUGGAAGUGGCUGACCACCAACUGAGGUGGUGUUUAGAGAGAAGAGAACUCCAAGUACAAAGGAAAGAGGAGGAAGAGAUGACAAUGCACGUGGAAUAG